rnacentral:rRNA from 1 species
UACGUAGGGUGCAAGCGUUGUCCGGAAUUAUUGGGCGUAAAGCGUGCGCAGGCGGUUCGUUGUGUCGGUGGUGAAAUCCCCGGGCUUAACCUGGGAAUGGCCAUGGAAACUGGCGAACUGGAGUGCGGCAGAGGGGGGUGGAAUUCCUGGUGUAGCGGUGAAAUGCGCAGAUAUCAGGAGGAACACCGGUGGCGAAGGCGGUGGUCUGGGCCGGCACUGACGCUGAGGAGCGAAAGCGUGGGUAGCAAACAGG